rnacentral:rRNA from 1 species
GGUUAAGCGACUAAGCGUACACGGUGGAUGCCCUGGCAGUCAGAGGCGAUGAAGGACGUGCUAAUCUGCGAAAAGCGCCGGCGAGGUGAUAUGAACCUUUGACCCGGCGAUGUCCGAAUGGGGAAACCCAGUGCAAUUCGUUGCACUAUCGUUAACUGAAUACAUAGGUUAACGAGGCGAACCGGGGGAACUGAAACAUCUAAGUACCCCGAGGAAAAGAAAUCAACCGAGAUUCCCCCAGUAGCGGCGAGCGAACGGGGAGCAGCCCAGAGUCUGAAUCAGCUUGUGUGUUAGUGGAAGCGUCUGGAAAGUCGCACGGUACAGGGUGACAGUCCCGUACACGAAAGCACACAGGUUGUGAACUCGAAGAGUAGGGCGGGACACGUGGUAUCCUGUCUGAAUAUGGGGGGACCAUCCUCCAAGGCUAAAUACUCCUGACUGACCGAUAGUGAACCAGUACCGUGAGGGAAAGGCGAAAAGAACCCCGGCGAGGGGAGUGAAAAAGAACCUGAAACCGUGUACGUACAAGCAGUGGGAGCACCUUCGUGGUGUGACUGCGUACCUUUUGUAUAAUGGGUCAGCGACUUAUAUUCUGUAGCAAGGUUAACCGUAUAGGGGAGCCGAAGGGAAACCGAGUCUUAACUGGGCGUUAAGUUGCAGGGUAUAGACCCGAAACCCGGUGAUCUAGCCAUGGGCAGGUUGAAGGUUGGGUAACACUAACUGGAGGACCGAACCGACUAAUGUUGAAAAAUUAGCGGAUGACUUGUGGCUGGGGGUGAAAGGCCAAUCAAACCGGGAGAUAGCUGGUUCUCCCCGAAAGCUAUUUAGGUAGCGCCUCGUGAACUCAUCUUCGGGGGUAGAGCACUGUUUCGGCUAGGGGGCCAUCCCGGCUUACCAACCCGAUGCAAACUACGAAUACCGAAGAAUGUUAUCACGGGAGACACACGGCGGGUGCUAACGUCCGUCGUGAAGAGGGAAACAACCCAGACCGCCAGCUAAGGUCCCAAAGUCAUGGUUAAGUGGGAAACGAUGUGGGAAGGCACAGACAGCCAGGAUGUUGGCUUAGAAGCAGCCAUCAUUUAAAGAAAGCGUAAUAGCUCACUGGUCGAGUCGGCCUGCGCGGAAGAUGUAACGGGGCUAAACCAUGCACCGAAGCUGCGGCAGCGACGCUUAUGCGUUGUUGGGUAGGGGAGCGUUCUGUAAGCCGUUGAAGGUGUGCUGUGAGGCAUGCUGGAGGUAUCAGAAGUGCGAAUGCUGACAUAAGUAACGAUAAAGCGGGUGAAAAGCCCGCUCGCCGGAAGACCAAGGGUUCCUGUCCAACGUUAAUCGGGGCAGGGUGAGUCGACCCCUAAGGCGAGGCCGAAAGGCGUAGUCGAUGGGAAACAGGUUAAUAUUCCUGUACUUGGUGUUACUGCGAAGGGGGGACGGAGAAGGCUAUGUUAGCCGGGCGACGGUUGUCCCGGUUUAAGCAUGUAGGCGGAACGAUUAGGUAAAUCCGGUCGUUUAUUAACGCUGAGGUGUGAUGACGAGGCACUACGGUGCUGAAGUAACAAAUGCCCUGCUUCCAGGAAAAGCCUCUAAGCAUCAGGUAACACGAAAUCGUACCCCAAACCGACACAGGUGGUCAGGUAGAGAAUACCAAGGCGCUUGAGAGAACUCGGGUGAAGGAACUAGGCAAAAUGGUGCCGUAACUUCGGGAGAAGGCACGCUGAUAUGUAGGUGAAGCCCCUGCGGGUGGAGCUGAAAUCAGUCGAAGAUACCAGCUGGCUGCAACUGUUUAUUAAAAACACAGCACUGUGCAAACACGAAAGUGGACGUAUACGGUGUGACGCCUGCCCGGUGCCGGAAGGUUAAUUGAUGGGGUUAGCGGUAACGCGAAGCUCUUGAUCGAAGCCCCGGUAAACGGCGGCCGUAACUAUAACGGUCCUAAGGUAGCGAAAUUCCUUGUCGGGUAAGUUCCGACCUGCACGAAUGGCGUAAUGAUGGCCAGGCUGUCUCCACCCGAGACUCAGUGAAAUUGAACUCGCUGUGAAGAUGCAGUGUACCCGCGGCAAGACGGAAAGACCCCGUGAACCUUUACUAUAGCUUGACACUGAACACUGGUCCUUGAUGUGUAGGAUAGGUGGGAGGCUUUGAAGCGUGGACGCCAGUCUGCGUGGAGCCGACCUUGAAAUACCACCCUUUAAUGGCUGGUGUUCUAACGUAGACCCGUAAUCCGGGUUGCGGACAGUGUCUGGUGGGUAGUUUGACUGGGGCGGUCUCCUCCCAAAGAGUAACGGAGGAGCACGAAGGUUAGCUAAUCCUGGUCGGACAUCAGGAGGUUAGUGCAAUGGCAUAAGCUAGCUUGACUGCGAGAGUGACGGCUCGAGCAGGUGCGAAAGCAGGUCAUAGUGAUCCGGUGGUUCUGAAUGGAAGGGCCAUCGCUCAACGGAUAAAAGGUACUCCGGGGAUAACAGGCUGAUACCGCCCAAGAGUUCAUAUCGACGGCGGUGUUUGGCACCUCGAUGUCGGCUCAUCACAUCCUGGGGCUGAAGUAGGUCCCAAGGGUAUGGCUGUUCGCCAUUUAAAGUGGUACGCGAGCUGGGUUUAGAACGUCGUGAGACAGUUCGGUCCCUAUCUGCCGUGGGCGCUGGAGAAUUGAGGGGGGCUGCUCCUAGUACGAGAGGACCGGAGUGGACGCAUCACUGGUGUUCGGGUUGUCAUGCCAAUGGCACUGCCCGGUAGCUAAAUGCGGAAAAGAUAAGUGCUGAAAGCAUCUAAGCACGAAACUUGCCCCGAGAUGAGUUCUCCCUGACCCUUUAAGGGUCCUGAAGGAACGUUGAAGACUACGACGUUGAUAGGUCGGGUGUGUAAGCGCAGCGAUGCGUUGAGCUAACCGAUACUAAUGAACCGUGAGGCUUAACCUU